rnacentral:rRNA from 1 species
AGCGAACGCUGGCGGCAGGCCUAACACAUGCAAGUCGAACGAACCCUUCGGGGUUAGUGGCGGACGGGUGAGUAACACGUGGGAACGUGCCUUUAGGUUCGGAAUAACUCAGGGAAACUUGUGCUGAUACCGAAUGUGCCCUUCGGGGGAAAGAUUUAUCGCCUUUAGAGCGGCCCGCGUCUGAUUAGCUAGUUGGUGAGGUAAUGGCUCACCAAGGCUACGAUCAGUGGCUGGUCUGAGAGGAUGACCAGCCACACUGGGACUGAGACACGGCCCAGACUCCUACGGGAGGCAGCAGUGGGGAGUCUUGCGCAAUGGGCGAAAGCCUGACGCAGCCAUGCCGCGUGAAUGACGAAGGACUUAGGAUUGUAAAAUUCUUUCACCGGGGACGAUAAUGACGGUACCCGGAGAAGAAGCCCCGGCUAACUUCGUGCCAGCCGCCGCCGUAAUAC